UUGUUGACGGGGUCAGCAAGGUGGUCAGCGAGGUUCUCGAGCAGGCCUUUGCCUGUGACGAUGGCCUGUACGAAGAAGCCGAACAUGGAAAACAGCAAGGCGGCCAUUCUUGAGCUCCUUUACCUUGAGCUCGGCGAAUGCCUCUAGGUCAUCAGCCAAGCCGAGUGGGUCGAAGCUACUGCCGGGGUAGAGAGGGUCAACGAUCUCACCAAGCGGGCCACCGGCAACACGGUAUCCCUCAACGGUGCCCAUGAGCACAACCUGGCAAGCCCAUAUGGCCAGGAUGCUCUGCGCAUGGACAAGGCUCGGGUUGCCGAGGUAGUCAAGGCCACCCUCACUGAAGAUCUAGGAGCCGGCCUUGAACCAGACGGCCUCGCCGAACUUCACGCCAUUGUGAGCGAGAAGCUCAGGGAAGACACAACCGAGGGCACCAAGCAUGGCCCAGCGGGAAUGGAUCACCUCCAACUCCCUGUUCUUGGCAAAGGUCUCAAGAUCAGGGUCUCAAGAUCAGCCGAGAGCCCGGCGGUGUCCCACCCGUAGUCACCAGGAAACUCACCGGUCAGGUAGCUCGGGGGCUCGUCAGAGAGCGGGCCGAGGUACAACACGCGGUCAGAGCCGUACCACGGGCUACCCGAGGACACCGGCUUGGCCUUGGCAGCGGUCUUCCGCAUGGUGACCCGGGCCUCGCCGAAGAGAGCUGCCGACGGCAGGUUCUUCACCGUAUUGCCGGCAAAGGCCGAGGAAGAAAGAGACAUGGUGGUGGCCGCCAUUGCACUUGCUUUUAAGACCGGUGGUUGCUGACCUCCGUGCUCUCCAAUAGUAUUGGAUGAGUGUGAAGAACUGGAGAUGGUAUCAGAAGAGAGGAGGAUGGAGCUAGUUAAAGGAGUGAGAAAGAACGGAGGGGAUUGCCCGGUACGGUGCUGGCAAGGGGGAGAGAGCCUGAAAAAUCUGAAGCUGCGUUGCCAUUGGUGCACAGUUGGCGCAGCAAGGGCCUCAUGUGGAUAUACGAUAAAGUUGUGGGUAGGGCUAAGAGGAGUCCCCGUGGAGAUGUGUGAUUGGGCUGAGUUUGAUGAACAAUCGCACAGGGACACAAGUGAUUUGCGCUGCAUAAACUGUCAUAGCUAUUCUGAUCCGCUUUAUUUGCUUCUUAUACAGACUCUGUAAACUUGGCCUGUACUAGCUAACUGACGCCUAAAUGAAAAUGAAAAUACCAGACAGAACGAGUCUUACUGACGUGCCAUCCCACGGUGUUGAUCGUGUCCUGGUCAUGCCGCCAUUGACGCUUGAUUCGUGCCAUCCCACGAAGCAGUCAAAGGCGGCGCACUAAAGCAGCUGACUAACAAGUAGUGACUCAGGCAAGACCGCAAGACACGAACAAACACGUGCCAGAUGCCUGUUUAUUCAGUUACUGAACUUACUGAAGAAAAAUGACACCGACAACAACAUUACGGUGAACAGUACAUUAAGUAUUACUGCUUAUUCAUUAUUGCUUUGUGGUCAUUGUCUUUUGACGUUUUCUGUGGAAUACCUAUUUUUAAUUUCUCUCUUCCUCAUGAUUAGUAUGACGCAAUAAGUUAAUGGAAAUGAUUCAGGGAUAUGAGACUGUAAUUGUUCAAGGAGAUUAUUGGGUUGGUAAUUCAGGAUAUUUUUGAUACGAUGAUUCUUUCCAUUCUUAGUUUGUUUCAUGGUAAACGACCAAUUAGUGAAAGUGACCUCUUAAUGAGGGCCUCGUUUUCAUAUAUACACAUGUCGAAAAGCUGGUGGGUAGAUCUUGUGGUAAUAGACAUGAUCCUCUAGUUUUUAACUCUGAGUUUAUGUAUUCUAUAUCCGACAAUUGGCGGCGUGCUCAGUUUUGUAUGCGAUUGGUAAGCACAUGUCAUUGGUUACAAUAAGUGCAAAACAUACGUCAGAGAGUAUUGUUCUGAUAAAAUACCAAAUGGCUAGAUGCAGAAUAUCAGAGAGUAAAGUGGCCUUCGAAUCAAACAAUCUUUUUCAUGAGAUCCUCGUUGUAUACAUCAUCAUCAUGGUAGUACAAAUCACACCAGCUAUCCACACUUCAUAGUUGCAUGGUCGAUCUCGUUGACUACUUGCCGGGGACGAAGUUGGUGGCGAAGGCCCACGCAUUGUUGUUGACAGGGUCAGCAAGGUGGUCGGCGAGGUUCUCAAGUGGGCCCUUGCCGGUGACAAUGGCCUGUACAAAGAAGCCGAACAUGGAGAACAUGGCGAGACGGCCAUUCUUGAUCUCCUUCACCUUGAGCUCUGCGAAUGCCUCGGGGUCGUCGGCAAGGCCGAGUGGGUCAAAGCUGCCGCCGGGGUAGAGAGGGUCAACGAUCUCGCCGAGCGGGCCACUGGCAACACGGUAUCCCUCGACGGCGCCCAUGAGAACGACCUGGCAGGCCCAAAUGGCGAGGAUGCUCUGGGCAUGGACGAGGCUCGGGUUGCCGAGGUAGUCAAGGCCCCCCCUCAGUGAAGAUCUGAGAGCCGGCCUUGAACCAGACGGCCUCGCCGAACUGAACACCAUUGCGGGCGAGAAGCUCAGGGAAGACGCAACCGAGCGCGCCAAGCAUGGCCCAACGACAGUGGAUCACCUCAAGCUCGCGGUUCUUGGCAAAGGUCUCGGGGUCCGCUGAGAGCCCGGCGGUGUCCCACCCAUAGUCGCCGGGAAACUCACCGGUUAGGUAACUCGGGGGCUCGCCAGAGAGCGGGCCGAGGUACAGCACACGGUCGGAGCCGUACCACGGGCUGCUCGAGGAGAUUGGCUUGGCCUUGGCGGCGGUCUUGCGCAUGGUGCCCCGGCCUCACCGAAGAGAGUCGAUGACGGCAUGUUCUUCACCGUCUUGCCAGCGAAGGCCGAAGAAGAGAGAGACAUGGUAGUGGCUGCCAUUGCGCUAGCUCUUAAAACGGUGGUGGUCGAACUCUAUGCUUCUAAUAGUAUUCUGUGAGUGUGAAGGACUGAAGAUGGAUUCAGAAGGGAGGAGGAGGGAGCUACUUAAAGAAGUGAGAAGAGAAGACAGAGGGAAUUGAUCUGUGCUGGCAAGAGAGACACAGCCUGAGAAAUCUGAUGCCACCAUCUCAUUGGUGCAGCGGCCAUCCGGGUACAGUUGGCGCAGGGACAUCCUCAAGGGGAUGGGAUAUAGUCGUGGGUAGGGCUUGGGGAUUCUGCAUGUGCACUACAAUUUGUUGUACAACUAAUAAGUUAUUGAGUUUAAUCAGUUAUUGAGGAUUCUGCAUGUGCACUUACAAUUUGUUGUACAACUAAUAAGUGUUAAUUUGCUUCCUCCGAAGGUAAUAGUCAAAAGAAGUUUUUUGUUGGUAAACUGAUAGUAAACAUGCUCGAUCAACAUGUAUUGUCCACAUAUGGAGUUAAAAAUGAAUUAGCCAGUCGUGGGGCCAUAAUUUAGCCUUUGCUCAUGUACAUAGUAACUUUAUAUAAUCCGUGCUUUUAUAGUAUUGACCGUGACGGGGUGAAACCAGAUGGCACGAUCCACCUGUAAGAACAAAAGGAUUCGGGUUAAAAGCUUUAGUGGGAUCAUUAGUGACUGAACUUUUGCUAAAUGGGGUCAAAAAAGAAAUCACACUAAAUGAAACCAAAGCUGUAAGAAACAUAAAUUGAGGGGUCAAAAAAUAGAAUUCACUCUUUUAUGAACGUGUGAGGAAAGAAAUUAUUUCAUAAUUAAUGAAAAUAAAAGUCAGCGGAAUGGGGAACAUUGUUACGCGAGGUUAUUGGGUUUGAGUAAUUUAGAUGAUUGUUUUUAAUCUUUGCUUGUAUAAUAAAAACAUCAUUUUUAUUUUGGCGUGCAGAAAAGAUGACAGAUAGAUCUUGUGAUCACAGAUAUGAUGCUCUAAUUGUUGCCUCUGAGUUUCUGUAUUCUAUAUCCGGGAAGCAGCCCCAUGCGUGCCCUGCAAAAUUAGUAUGACUAAGAUUGUUAUUUUUGUAUAUACUUCCUUGUUAAUUGGGAUCUUUCUUAUCGACCAAAUCACCUAAUCCCAUCAAAAUUCUUUUAUGUCCUUUUCAUUGGCCUGGGUAUUUCUAGAUUUUGUAGUUAGUUCUGGAAUAUCCAUCCCUGAAAAAGGAAUGCGGUACACGUCAUUUUUACGGUAAGUUUGUUCACUUCCACGAGAGUAUGUAUUGCUCUGAUAAAACAUUGGGGGACAUCACAAAGUGUCUACUUCAAAAUCUGACAAUCUUUUGUUCAUAAGAUCCUCGUAAUUAAUUUACAUCAUCAUCGUGGUAGUACAAGUGAAACCAGCUACACACACUUGGUCGCGAGCAUAGUCGAUUUGCAUAUACACAUGUGCCUCUCAUUGACACCUUACUUGCCGGGAACGAAGUUGGUGGCAAAGGCCCACGCGUUGUUGUUGACGGGGUCGGCAAGGUGGUCAGCGAGGUUCUCAAGGGGACCCUUGCCGGUGACGAUGGCCUGAACGAAGAAGCCGAACAUGGAGAACAUGGCGAGGCGGCCGUUCUUGAUCUCCUUCACCUUGAGCUCAGCGAACGCCUCAGGGUCGUCAGCCAAGCCAAGGGGGUCGAAGCUGCCGCCGGGGUAGAGAGGGUCGACGAUCUCACCGAGCGGACCACCAGCAACACGGUACCCCUCGACGGCGCCCAUGAGCACGACCUGGCAAGCCCAGAUGGCGAGGAUGCUCUGGGCAUGGACGAGGCUCGGGUUGCCAAGGUAGUCGAGGCCGCCCUCGCUGAAGAUCUGGGAGCCGGCCUUGAACCAGACGGCCUCGCCAAACUUGACGCCGUUGCGGGCAAGCAGCUCGGGGAAGACGCAACCGAGCGCGCCGAGCAUGGCCCACCUGCAGUGGAUCACCUCCAGCUCCCGGUUCUUGGCGAAGGUCUCGGGGUCAGCCGAGAGCCCGGCGGUGUCCCACCCGUAAUCGCCGGGGAACUCACCGGUCAGGUAGCUCGGGGGUUCGCCGGAGAGCGGGCCGAGGUACAACACGCGGUCGGAGCCGUACCACGGGCUGCCUGAGGAGACCGGCUUGGCCUUGGCAACGGUCUUGCGCAUGGUGAUGCGGGCCUCUCCGAGCGCCGGCAGGUUCUUCACCGCCUUCCCGGCGAAGGUCGAGGAGGAGAGGGCCAUGGUGGCGGUCGCCAUUGAUGUACUGCUGUACCGUGCUCUCCUAAGAGUGUGAGGCUGGCUCUGGUGUGCGUGGAGAUGGUUUGAGAUGGGCAGAGGAGGUAGCUAUUUAACGGUGCUCUGUGGGUACAGAGAAGGGAAGAUGAUGAGAGAGAUGGCUAGAAAAAUCUGAAGCUGGGAUGCCAUUGGUGGAGUGGAGAUAUCGGCACAGUUGGCGCAGCGAGAGCCUCAAGCCGGUGGAGAUAGCUCAGACUUGCCAUGUGGAGAGGGGCUAUUGGGUGCCGUUGAUUUUCUCGUGGCUGAGGAUAUUGAUGUCGCUGAUAUUUUUUACUCGGACUGGAAGUUGCUGUUUUAGCCGUCAGAAGCUGUUAAAAAACGGAAACGUCGUGAAGGGGAUUGAUCGCCUCGUCUUGUGUCGUGUAUGUUUAGCAGUUGUUGUU
rnacentral:lncRNA from 1 species